rfam:Xenopus laevis strain J chromosome 7S, whole genome shotgun sequence.
CCAAAGGCUCUUUUCAGAGCCACCCACACAGUACCAUUUAC